CCGUGAGGCGGGAAGGGAGCCGGGCCGCCGGGAUGGGACCGGGUCACCCGUUCCCCGCCGCAGGGUACCGGGCACCCGCCUGCUUGAGCGGGCGCGGCGGUCUCAUUUGCGGUCAUUAAGAACGGAGAUAAUUAGGGCUUGGCAUGGUAUUUAGGCAGGCGUAUGAAAACUUACCCCUUCCGACCAAAGGCGGUCCGGCCCCUCGAGGCUGUUGCGCUGCGUUUAAAUCCGUCGUCUGCAGCGUGGCCCGCGGGAGGCUGGGUGCUGGGUGCUGGGUGCUGGGGCGCUCUGGGUGCCGCUCCGUGCGGAAACCGCUGUGGGAAGUCGCUCCAGGGUGACGGGGACGUCGCGUCCCAGAACUGACUCCAGUGCUCAAACGCAAAUGACGAGUAAACAAAUUCUCCAGCAGACCCCAGGCAGAUACCUGCCAAGAAGGGAUUUCCAAGUGCAGAGCCAACGUCAUCUGCAUGACCUGCUUUUACGAAGUUUGGUUUUGAACUUUUAGUUGAACUUGGUUGAUGCUGACAUUCACAAAAGUACACUGUAUUGUCUAACAGACAAGUAAUCAAAACUUGGAGCUGGUGCUUCUGUGUUACUUGUUACAGCUCCACUUGGAAGCAAGAGGUCUGCAGGAGCUCAAAGGGGAAUUACAUUGACAUCUGCUCAGAGUUAUCUCCAGCUCACUCCGUUCCCUUCUGGGACAGGUUGUUCUCCUCAGAUCCAUGGAGCGUCUCCUGGAGCUUGGGAACCAGCCUCAGGGACCCUGAAUGGAUGGAGCCUCUGCAAAGCCUGAGCCACAACCUAGUGCCCUCCCUACACCUGACACUUAGUUCAAGGACAGCACAGGACAUGGGGGAAUUCUGCUGCAGUGUCUGUAUCCAACAAAAUGAAGGGGGAAAAAAAGCAGAGACUAGUGCAGAUCUGAGGUACCAACCCUCACUUAGAUAGAGGUCAAUUGGCACAUUAAAAUUGCCUCUUCCUGUGAAAGACUCUGUGCUCUUAAAUGCUUGAAUGCUACAUUUUUGUCCAAUCCUUUUGCAAAAGGAGGGUAUUUCAGCACCUGCAGAGUAAAAGUGUUUUCUGUGAGCUCCUGUGCUCCUGAAUAGUUAAUAAAUCAACAUAUAAAUAAAAGGCGUUAUAUGCAUCUUACAGUUGGAAGCAGAAAUCCAAAUUCAUGGUUUGUUACUCCUAUUAUGUACGGGACUGCAUUGAUCCUUUUUUCAGCUAGUAGCGGUGAUGGGUUUUUAGGGAAAAAUAUACUGUCCACAACUGCAUCAAUAAAGAGAGGAUGCUGGAGAAAAAAGCACCACUUUGUUACUUACAUACUGGUUUUGCUCGGAAAGAUAAUUCAGCUUUCUUAGUAUUGACUGAAAGAAAUCACCCAAGUGACCUAUUUUUAAUUAUAAUACAUAGUGUCAAAGGUAACUGAGUUUUAGGCCUUGUUCUGAGGUUCUCUUACAUAAUUUUAGUACUGCACAAGAAUUUAAUACUGAAUGCUCAAGACAGAGGAUGACUUGUUAACCAGUUUGUAACUCCAGCUUCUUAGGGUUGGAUGAGUAACGGGGUCAAAAUAGGCUUAUGUGGUAAGAUUGCAAAAGAACUGACAAGCCAGCACAGUGAUACGGAAAGAUUGAUUAUGGCAACAGAUAAAACAGCUACUAACAAAAGGUCGGUUUUGCAAAAAGGAGAGCUUUUUCAAUGACUGUACUUCCUAGAAAGGUUUGAUAAAUGCUGUAUUACUUCCUCCAAUAUGCAGUCCUUCCAUCUUGCACACUGUAUUAAAAAAUCAGCCAGCUGCUGGGAGGUGCGUUGCUGAUGACAAAGGUGACAUGAUGGACUGUGCAAAGCUGGCCAGUUCCAUUUUUGCAAUUUUAACUUUCCUAUUUGGUAUUCGUGAGCCUGCCUUGUUCAGAACCAUUCCCAGGGGAAAAAAAAGAAUUUAUUGUUUACAUUCCUGUGAUGGAUGCACUUCUACCCUGAAAUGCAGGGUGGUAGGGAAUGUUCCUGUUUUGAUUCUUCAGGUGCAGUAUUGUUGUUCAAGUGCACUGUUGUGAAGUCCUGCAACAGCCAAGCAAGUGUCAUACAAUGGUUUUGCCUCAAGUUAUCUUAGUCUUAGAGAAGGAUUUAUUCCAUCUUAUAAAACAAAGUACAGCACUAGCUACUGUUUUUAGAGUUACGUUUAGCAUCUCUUUUGCCGUUUUUUCUCUUAAGCACUGAACCACUGCAGCCAAAUCAGGUUUUUCACAGCCAGCGUGGUUGCAAUUCUCUGCAAUCAGUGUAACAAAAGACCGACAGUUUUCUUAUAUUAACUAUGCUACUUACUCCUCCGUGGGCAGUACUUUCUCAGCAACUGAGUCACAGUGAACAGUCAUCAGCUACACUGUGCUGGGAAUGCUAAGUGAUUUUGCAGAACUCCCGAUUCCUUCCAUCACAGCUGAAGAGUGGAGGCAUGUUUUGUGUAAAAGCUGUGACAUAAAUAAGUUGCAGCAGCAUGCACAAUACUAAGUAUUUGCAAGUUUGAGCAAAGCGGUAUCAUAAAUGGGUGUGCAAAUGGAUUUUUUUCACAGGAAGCAUCAAUGUGUGGAAAGCUACAAUAUUAAAAGGCUAGUAAUAAUAUUGAAUACUAUUAAAGUACUAAAAUGUGGAACAAUAUACAUUUUAAAAUUAAUUACUUUAGCUUGUCUUUCAGGACGGUCAGUUAUCAGAGUUCUGGCUACAGCUCCACUCUCUGAGAUAGCCCUAUGGAACAAACCCCUUGCCAGAGGAGAGAUGACCUGAGAAGCAGGAAUGGCACCUAACAAACAUACUUGGUCACCGACUUAGAAAGGCAAUUAUAGAAAUUAUGUAUAAUUAAUAAAUUUUUAAGUAAGAUUAAGUGUUCUAUUGACAGAAUGUGAAAAAUAUAACAGCAGCAUUUCUUGCUGAAUAUUAUCAACGAAAUAUACUGCUAAGAUUUUCUUCAAAUAUAGGUGCACAGUGCAUACAUUUGUAUUUAAUGUAUAUGUACUGUUACCUUGAGCUGAACUGGGUAUCUAUACCAAGUGACCAUUAAUAUUGAAAAUAUAAAAUAAAAUGCAGUUUGGAGCAUAAUGUAGGAAUCUGCUGCUUAAAGGUAACUUAUACAUUGUGGCCCCAGUGUUAUUCCUUUCUCAACUGUUUGAAAGCAUACCAUUCUUUAUAUUUGGGGUUUUAAAGUAGACAGAUGGACAGAACGCUGCUUCUCACACAGUUGGAAAGUACUUUGUUAUGAUAUGUGCCUAAUAAAAUAAGGGGCCUCACUUUUCCACAGAAGUUAUAGCUAUGAUUUUGCAUUCACAAACACAUGGGAUUUUUUCUAUCAUCUUGUUUAAGUUAAUGAUUUUUGUGAACCUACAAGGACAGAAACACUGAUUCAACAAACAAACCAAUAACGGACUUAAAGGCUACUUCAGAUCAAAACAGGGGAAGGAAUAAAAUGCCCAGUGUGCCCCAGAUGCUGCAUUAUGAAAUGUGUGACAGAACUAGCAGUAUGGCUGAACACUGUUGCUACAAUUCGCUGUUACUUAAUGAUGGCUUUUUGCAAGUAAUGGUAACAACUAGUGGUUUUUGCAAGUUAUGGAAAAAAUGCACAAAAGGGGAUAGCCAGGUAGAAGCUCAGUAUAGAUCACACAGCUCAAGGUCCACCAAUUUGUAAAGGCAAGCCCAAGUGAACCCAGAGGUGAGGAGGAAGAAGAAGACAUCCUCAAGAAAUCAACACCUGCAGGCAGGAACUUGGGCUGCCAAUGUGUCACUGUGACAGUCCCUCCUGGGAAGAGCAGCCAUAGACUGUGGGAUGCUGUGGGAGAUGGGAGGGUGAGCUUGACACCAGUUAAGGGAGUAGUUACAGCUAAUUUAUUGCUGUUUGUUUAUUGUUAUGAGUACAGUUCUUAUAGAUUCUUGGAUACUUACAUUGUGUGUUCCUUUGUGCCUAGCAAGCGUAUCUUGCUUGCCAUGUAACUUUGCAAAAAAGCCACUCCACUACUUGUGUGUCCUGAUGCAUUCCAGGUAUUGCCAAAAAUGUGGUCACAGCUGCUAGUGCCCUUGAAGGGAGGAAGACUGAGGGUGCAUGCUUUGCACAUCAGCAGGUCUUCCCUUUGUGGGCCCACGGACAACGCUGAGCUAACAACAUGCAGCGAACAACAUCAUACUUUGCUCUCCCCUCUGUCUCAGUGGGUGUCUGUCCUGCCAGCAAGGCUUCCUCCCUCCAGCCAGUGAAUUGUGAAUUCUUUGCCAGGAAGGGUUGAAGAAUAGAUAAUCAUACCACAGAAUAGCCUGUGAAAACCCUGGAGCCUUGAGACUCAGCUUCUGCAAAGAAAGCUGGAAAACUCAUAUCUGAAACCCUUUAGGUUGAA